rnacentral:tRNA from 1 species
GGUAAAAUAGCUUUGUGUAAAGUCGUGGGUUGUAGCCCCAAUGAAAGAGGUUAAACUCCUCUUUUUACCA